rnacentral:lncRNA from 1 species
UUACUUUACUCAGUUUUACGAUAGAGUAGCAAACUAAUAACCUCUAAAAUCCUUUCUAGUUUUGAUUUCUUUGGAUUAGCUUCUCAAGGAUACUUUCCAAUCACUUCAAGCAGCAGUGCUGUGUCUCAGGCUGAUAUUCACUCUUCUUUAUGAUCACCAAGCACCUCACCAAAGGCAGAGGAAAUGCUGACUUUACAUUGACACAGACUUCAGAGAAACUUGACUGUUUAGUCAACAGAUGACAAUUGAAUUGAAUUCACUAAAGCUGGUUUGAACAAAGACAUCCUUAACCCUGGCUGCACACUAGAAUAAUUUGAGGAGCUUUAGAAGCCACAGAUACCUGGAGUCCCACGCCAGAGUUGACGUAAGUGGAUGAAGUCACAGUCUAGACAUUGAAUUUUUAAAAUAUUCCUAAGUGAUCUGAAUGUGCAACCAGUGUUCAGAAACAUUGGUUUAGGCCAGCGGUUCUCAAAAUGUGAUUCUGCCAUCAGCAUCUUGAGCAUUACCUGGAAACUGAUUAGAAAUGCAAAGUCUCUGACUCCAGAACUGCUGAAUCAAAUAUCCAAAUAUGGUUGCUCAUCACAGUUAUCUGGGGAGAAUUUUGAAAAUAGGUACUCCUCAUCUUCACCAUCAGUUCCAGUUUCUGAUACAGAAAAUGUGGGCAAGGUCAGGAAAUGCCAUUCUUCUCCUCCACCUGCUUCUUCUUCCUCAAGAAUUCUAAAGAUUUGACAGUUAUGGGAGCCAUGUUGAAAAUAUAUAUUUUGAAAAGAGUUGUAAUUGAGGAAAUCUGAAUUUCAGUCCCGCCACUGUAGGUAACUGACCAAGAGACCUUGGACCAGGCACUUCUCCUGCCUCCCUUGAAUCAAAGCUUCUAUAUCAACCACUGCUGACUCCCACACUUCCAGGGAAGUUCCAAUGAACUUGAAUGAUGUUUGAAGCUUCAGAGCUCUAUGUAAAUGUGAAGUAUUGCUAUCAAGACAUCUUAGAAUGAAAGAUAAUAUUUUCUUCUUUACUUUUACUCCUUAGAAGACUAUUACCUACUAGUAUGUCCCUUUUAUUUCUUAUUUAAUAAAAAACCUACAGAAAGAUAA